ensembl:lncRNA
GGCAGUUGAAUAAAGAGGAUAUUUUUCAAAUAAUUUCUUUGGAAAAAAAAUGCAGAAUUUGAGCUUUAUCUUAUAUGUGACUCAAGAAUGUAGGUCUUUUACUUCUUAUUCAAGAUGAAAUCCUGUUACAUGGCUGCCUUUUGAAGGAUUUAAUUGCUCCAAGGAUUCACGCUUACACAGUAUUCUUCACCUCUUAGAAAUCACCCAAAGGGCUCACCAUUCCAGACCACAUUCAUUUUGCCUAAAUCUGGCCAAAGAAGGACUGUGCAUGAUUAGUAUAUACAAUAGCAUUUGGUCCUGGGCCAAGCUCUCCUCCACCCAAUACCAGCACUGCUCAAUGUUGCGGUUUUUGUUAACCCACUUCUUCCAUUCUACUCUCAGCUUUACAUAUGUCUGAAAUGCAUAUGAAGAAUGUAGCCCCAGUCACGUGCCUCUUCUGUGUCACUGUGUCAGUAAUCUGAUCAAUAUAGGUAGAAGAGUUUGAAAUUUUGGGACAAAAUUGCUUUCUCUCAUAUCAGACUGAACAAAGCAGCUAUGUCCAGAGAUAUGCUUCCCUAUGAAAAGGAAAAUUAAUCUUCACGUUUUUAUUUAUGGAGGACAAGUUGGUACUUACAUGGGCAUACUGUAAUACCAGCAUUGAGAUGCAACCAGACCAGGCUCCCCUCCAGUCUGUUCUCUGAGCCCAGCCAUCUCUCGAG